GCCGCCGGCUCUGCCCCUCUGCCCUCAGAGCCGCCGCCGGCCCUUUCCGCGGCCCCCGGGGCCGCCUCGCUGCGGGGCUUCGUGUGGCUGCCCCGGGGGGGACUCGGGAUGGUUCCUCCCCUCAGCCGCGCCGGGAGAGCGGCGGGAAAGGGGAAUCGCGGCCGGGGAGAGGCGUCCCGAAGGAAUCCAAAUGGGGAUAAUCCGGCUGCGGCCGCAUGCCUCCCACAGCGGCCCGUUCUCCCAGUAACGCGAGGGUGAUGGGUUUGGCCUCGAACAGCGGCUGCCGUGGGGUUCCCCAGGCUCAGACCUGCGCCUGACCGAGACUGAUAAAUCUUUCAUGCACUCGCACAGUUUCUCUCAGCAGAGCAGAAUAAGAGGAUUUACACGGCAAGUUGUGGCUGAAGAACAGCAACUUCACUUAGAAAGAAAGGACCGUAACUCUCAGCGCUCUGCAGCUUGACAGGUCCCAAUCCUUUGCUGAAACAUGAAGGUUUGUCCUAGGAGUUCCCAAAAACUCCACUUGGGAGCUGAGGACUUGCAAAGUGGCAGUGAGUUUCCAAGUGAGUUGAGUUCCCUUACACCAUAUAGUUGUGUCUGCAAUGGAAGCUGCAUUAACUGUUUCAAUGGAGGAAAAAAGUCCUGCCAACCUCAUGAUUAAUUGAUGAAACCUCAUUUCUCCCCCUUCUUGCUGCCAGCCUCUCAGAAUCAUCCCCAUCCCUCACACGAGCCCGGGCUCUUUCCCUGCUGCAGGAAACUUGCACAAGCGGACACAGGAGGAAAGGGGGAUGAAGCUGCUUUGAGAAGCACGAGAGGAGCUGGCGUGUUGUGAGGGAAGGAUGUGGCUGCUAAGCUUCUGCCAAAAGUGGAGUUUAAAAAAAGCUGCCGCACAAUCCUGGGACGACGUUUACGCAGGAGCGGCGCAGGACAGCAGCAACUGGUUCCCAUCAAGCGGGGACUGGUUGUAUCUGCAAGUAUGAUCAAGCCAUCCUGACUGCAAGGUCUGGAAGGACUGGCUAGUGUGGUUUCUGAAAUUAACAUGGCAGCAGAAGACAAAAUCCAUUCUCCAGCCUUUAUUCGUGGGGUUUGGGGCAACAUAAACAGUAAUAAAGAGCAGGGAUGACUAAAAUAGGAAGGCUGGUUUUGCGGGCAUGACAGGAGCAAAAAUAGACAUAUUUUAUAAAUAAAGAUGUCCUGGAAAUCAGAGACUCCCAAGUUUCACGCUCACCAGUUCAGCUGUUCUGGCUGGGGGUCUUCUCCACCAGUAGUGCUCAAGGGAUUUGUGAAGGCAUAAAUGAGCUGUAAUACAAGCACAUGCAUGAAAUGCCCUUCGUGCAAACCAGCCCCAUUAGUUGAUCUACUUGUGGAUGUCAUUUUAACCCACAGGUUCUGGUUAAUUUAGGGCUGGGGGUUUGCUCAGAAUAGGUUAAAUCCAAGUCUUUGAAGAGAGCUGCACGUGUAUUUUCAUUAAGCCUGAGACUGCUGUAGGUGUUGUGGAAGAAAUCAAAGUGCACCAGUGUGACUUGAGAAAAGAAAGCUUUUGAGCUGACCUUCUUCCAGGAGAAUGAAUUCAUGUCUUCAGAAGUGAGCAAGUCUCACUUCAGUGAUCUUAUCUCAGAAAUAAAAAGGCAAUAAGAAAAUGAGAAGAGACGUGGAGGAGGGCGGUAAGGACAGUGGAAGUGAUGGGAUAGAUACCAUAUGAGGAGGAAAGACUAGAAAAACAAGGAGACUCCAGUUUGGAAGAACAAAACCUUGGGGCAAGUAAAGACAGAGAAAUCUGAAGAGGUCAAGAGAGGUCUGGUAUGGACAUGGAAUUCUUUUUCCCUUUUCUUCACAACACAAGAACAUGGAGAGAAAUGUUCAGGAGCCAGGUCUGAAGCAGACAAAAGGAAGUACUUUUACACACAACACAUAAUUAUAUUGUGGAACUUAUUGCCACAGGAUGUCAUGGAGGCCAAAAGUAUAAAUGAAUGAGAAAAAAAACAAAAGGGAUUACACAAAUUCAUGCAACCUCCGGCUUAGGAAGUCCCUCAACUUCUGAUUACCAGGAGCUGGGAGGAAAUGCCAGAGGAAGGAUCACUUUAUACUCUCCCUCUUCCAAUAUCCCUUCCUAAGCAUCUGCAGCUGGCCAAAGCCAGGCCCUAGUUGUUGCCCAAAGUGGAGGUUUAUUCUGAGCCAGUCUGACAAUGUUUAUAUCCUCCUGGCAACUCCCUCAUGGAUGGAGCCUUAGGGAGCAGAGGCAUCUCCUGGUGAGAUACAGGACAGACCCCUAAUUUUGUUACCUGCAGCCCAAUGUGGUCACAGUCAAGUCCGUCGUGGCCACUCUUUGCUGAUUUAGGCUGGUGUAAUUGAGGCCAGAUUGAGCCCUGGAACCUUCAGAGAGACUUUUCCGCUUUCCCUGCCCCUGGGAUUAAGCACUGAAAUCUCUGUGCUAAAACCCUCUUUGAACGGGGAUGGCAGAUAAUGCGCAAACUGAUUAAAAAAAACCCCCAGCACCGGGGAAAGUUAAAUAUUAAAGAGCCAAGGCCCAGUUUUAACUGCUGCUGCCGUCCCUCCUUCAUCUCGUGCCAACUGCCUCCAGGAUACAUGUGCUGACACUGAAUCUCUACCUCACAAAAGCGGCCGCAGCAUGGGCUUUAAAACUCAGCCCAUUAAUACUGGGAUGGGAAGCAGAAAAAUAGAACAAAGACAGCGAGGGACUCCUCUGCUUCCCACCCUGACCAUGCCCGAUCCAUCCCUGCAGCAUCACAGGGCAUGGUACCCCUACCCCAGUGAGGCAUUUUGCCCCUUUGACUUUUCAACAUUAGUUGGUCUAAAAUAUUUUGCUGCCUGCUUUGCCCUGCUGUAACUAAAACUAUAAUUUUCACUAGCAGAGAAGAGGGAUUUGGGAGAAACAUCUGGUCUCAUUUCAUCAGGAUAACAGCUCCGUCUCUAUUUAUACACGCGCCGGGAUCGUUGUGGCUAUCAGCUGUUCUUCUCCCGACAGUUCCUUUCAAGCUGCCGUGUCCUGCUCUGUUGGGGCAGUCCCCAGGUCGAGGCCAACCCGCUGCCACAUGAAACAGGAACCAGGCCCAAAAAUGUGGGCUUGUGAGAGCUUGUCCCCUCCACACCUGGGGCUUGCUGUCUGCCAGGCUGGUGACGAUGUGCCGUGAUGGAUGGUUGCUCCUGUCCUUGUAUCCUGCUGGGGAAAACUGGGAAAACCCAUCUGACUAGACAGUUUGCUGGAACUGGAUGAUCUUUAAAGUCCCUUCUGACCCAAACCAUCCUAUGACUGGAAAAUCAUUUUCUUGGUAAAUCCAGAGACUUUGCUGGUCAGGGAUCAGGCCUGCAAUGAGUCAACCUUAUUGGUCUGAGUAUACCAACCUCAAUGGUCUGAAUUUUUCUCCAAAAUCACAAUGUGGAUUUUGGGGGAAAGCUCAGACCAUUGAGGAAAGACCAGCUGACUCUGACUUUUCUCUAAGGUGUUAGGAGAUAAACUGUGACCCUACAGAGACACGGGAAGGUCAGGGAGUCUGCUUGGGAAGGCAGUACGUCCUACUUAAUUCACCACAGUGGGAAAAAUCCGCUCUGCUGCCUCCCCUCCAGUGCUCACAAGACAUCACAUCUCAUCCAGCAUGUUUAAAAAAACCCCUCAAGUCAAAUGGCCAAGUACCUGGAAAAUUACCACGUAGCACAUUCAGCAGCCAUCUGAAAGGAGCGCUCAUAGCCUGGAUGAUGAUGGGGUGUGGGUCAGCAUUAAUCAUCUCAAGCAAGUCUAUCCCACUGCCCUGCUUUUCCCUCAACCAGGCUGUGCCUCUGCUCCCAUCCCGACCCUCCGAGAGCCCCUGACACGCAGCUAUUUCAGCAUCACUCCCCCUCCUCUUUUCAGCAGCUCUGG